rnacentral:snRNA from 1 species
GUGCUUGCUUUGGCAGCACAUAUAUUAAAUUGGAGUGAUAGAAAGAAGACUAGCAUGGCCCCUGCACAGGGAUGAUACGCAAAUUCAUGAAGGGUUCCGUUAAAAA